rnacentral:rRNA from 1 species
AUUGAACGCUGGCGGCAUGCUUUACACAUGCAAGUCGAACGGUAACAGGCCUUCGGGUGCUGACGACUGGCGAACGGGGGAGUAAUGCAUCGGAACGUACCCAGAGGUGGGGGAUAACGCAGCGAAAGCUGUGCUAAUAUCGCAUGUGAUCUGAGGAUGACAACGGGGGACCGAGCAGCAAUGUUUGGCCUCGCGCCUUUGGAGCGGCCGAUGUCGGAUUAGCUAGUUGGUGGGGUAAAGGCCUACCAAGGCGACGAUCCGUAGCUGGUCUGAGAGGACGACCAGCCACACUGGAACUGAGACACGGCCCAGACUCCUACGGGAGGCAGCAGUGGGGAAUAUUGGACAAUGGGCGCAAGCCUGAUCCAGCCAUGCCGCGUGCGGGAAGAAGGCCUUCGGGUUGUAAAGCGCUUUUGGCAGGAACGAAACGGUGUCCGCUAAUACCGGGCGGUACUGACGGUACCUACAGAAUAAGCACCGGCUAACUACGUG